UACAGAGGGUGCAAGCGUUGUUCGGAAUUAUUGGGCGUAAAGGGCGCGUAGGCGGUGCGGUAAGUCUGUAGUGAAAUCUCUGGGGCUCAACUCAGAGUCUGCUGCAGAAACUGCCGUGCUUGAGUGUGGGAGAGGUGAGUGGAAUCCCGGUGUAGCGGUGAAAUGCGUAGAUAUCGGGAGGAACACCUGUGGCGGAAAGCGGCUCACUGGACCACAACUGACGCUGAGGCGCGAAAGCUAGGGAGCAACAGG
rnacentral:rRNA from 1 species